GGCGUCUUCGUGGGAAGUAUCCGUCCGGCCCGCGGCUCUCAAACUGCCCACAAAGUAAAGCAAGGAAGUAAAGGCUAGCCCACCAUCCUACAUUUCAAACUUCUCCGAGACAGCAUAAGGAUUGAUUUUUAAACAUGCAAUCAUUUUCCUUUCAAUCAAAUGGCCAGGGACAGUUAAUUAAACCAACAGUGUGCUUGGUGCUGUGCGAAAAAUCACGCCUUGUGUGUUUCACAGAUGUGCAAUUCUCUGGAACUCCACUGUGGAGCUACUUCAUUAUAACUGCAACAAGCAGUACUUGUAUUGCUGGAUCAGACCUCGAGAAUUGGUGCAACUUGUGACAUCGUCAUUGCAGAAGCAUGGAGGGAAAAGGACCCUGGGCACCAUUUUACACCAAAACAGAGAUUUGCUUCUUUCAAUAAAAUACAUUGUAUUUGAAUCUCACAACACAACAUUGAGGAAACAGUCUUGUGGAGUACUUACAUUCAGUCCACAAACAUGACGGAAAAGAGAACAAUGUUGACAAGACAUGGGGAACAACCUCAAAGGACAAACUUAUAUGGUGCAGAACCUGCAAGCUUGCAGUUUAAUAUUUGAGUGACAUUGAUUGAGAGUCAUCAAAGAAGGAAAGGAGUUAGUGUAUGCCUGGUGCUGUCAACACAGAACUGAGCCAUUCGUGUGAUGUGUGCAGCCACACUUGCUGGUCACAGAUUGAUCGUGUUUGACAUUGACUGUGCAGUCGGUCCAUGACUUAAUGACAGAGAUAUCUGUCAGUUCUUCUGUGAUUUGCCUUGCUUUCACUGGUAAGUUCCAGGAAGCCCAGGAAACCAGUGGACACAGUUAUGUUUAAUGUUAAAAUUACUCUAAUUGGUUAAUUAACAUUAUUGAUAUUGACAGCUUGCCUCUCCAGAAGGGAUUGCUUGCAUGCAAUCUUUCAUGUUGAUGUUGAAUAUGGAAGUUGCUUGGCUGGAGGCAGCUAGCUAAUUUUCAACACAUUUAAUACCACACCCCUCCUCCCCUGGCUCCCAAUCUCAGUUUCAAAACAUGAAAUUCCCAGAUGUAAAAUAUCCUAGCUAUAGUCUUACAGUUAUCUUGUAUAGACUCAUUCCCUCCCCAUUAUUUUUGUAUUAAAUUAACCAAUGUGAAAUUAAAUGUAUCAUUUUAAGACUUCUAAUUCCAUUUCUGAAAUUAAAAAAAAAUU